rnacentral:lncRNA from 1 species
AUGGUAGUAUCACGGUCUAGGGAAGUAGAAAUAUGUAGAAUUGGAAGUGUCUAAAGAGUAUUUGAGGAAUAAAAGUAAACAAGAGUUGAUGAUAGAUUUUGUGAUGAUUGAAAAAUAGGCAAGUAUAUGAGAUGCUCCUAGGUUUUCUGGAUUGUAGAGGUGGAUAGAAGCUAGUAGCAGUUAUGAAUUUAGAUGAGGCUGGCAUCAUUGGCUAGCUACCUAAAAAUCAUCCUUGAUGUCAGUAAGAUGUCAUGAAGAAAAUGCAAUUUUUCUUAAUGUUCGCAAUGUCAUUAAUCUUUUUUUUCAUUGUAGAGGCUAAACACAGCAAAAUAGUUAUUUCUCCAUCUUCUGUUGUAGUCACGAGGCUACAAAGUAUGUAAGGGGUAUGUGUUAGAGGGCUUCUGGGGACAUGUGUAUUUUCAGCUAAAAGAAGAGAUGCAAACUCUAAAAUGACAAAACAAAUAUUUACUGCUGAUAAACCAACUAAGGAAAUAAAAAUGAAUAAUAAAAAAUUAAAGUAAUGUUUAAAAAGGAAGACAAAGGGAAAGUGAGAAAGAGGA